GAAAUGCGAUAAGUAAUGUGAAUUGCAGAAUUCAGUGAAUCAUCGAAUCUUUGAACGCACAUUGCGCCCGCCAGUAUUCUGGCGGGCAUGCCUGUUCGAGCGUCAUUACAACCCUCAGGCCCCCGGGCCUGGCGUUGGGGAUCGGCGGAAGCCCCCUGCGGGCACAACGCCGUCCCCCGAAUACAGUGGCGGUCCCGCCGCAGCUUCCAUUGCGUAGUAGCUAACACCUCGCAACUGGAGAGCGGCGCGGCCACGCCGUAAAACACCCAACUUCUGAAUGUUGACCUCGAAUCAGGUAGGGAUACCCGCUGAACUUAAGC
rnacentral:misc_RNA from 1 species